UCUUAGCAACCGAUUUGGUCCUAGUCCUCUUCUUGGUUUUAUCUAGACCGAUACAUGCAAGCUAAUUAACAGCACAGUGAGUAGAAUUAAAGUUAUACUCUAAAGAAAUAACUUUUAUAGUAGGUAUCAGAAAAUUAACCAAAAAUUCUAAAACACCUAGCCCCCCACAUCUGCAGUACCUAACAUUAUACAAUAAGCAAAAGCUUGAUAUAGUUAUAGACUAAAGAGUUGGUUAAUUAUGUGCCAGCCACCGCGGUUAUACAUAAGACUCAAACUAAGAAACCUAUAUCGGUUUAAAGGUGAUUAAGGCUGAACUACUUUAAGGUGAAAAACAACUCCAGUACUAACAAGCUUUUACAGUAAACUAACAACAAAAUAAAACUUACCUUAACACCACACCCUGAAACACCAAAGCUCAAAAAUAAACUGGGAUUAGAUACCCCACUAUAUGAGCCUUAAAAAACCAAAAACACCCAGAGAA
rnacentral:rRNA from 1 species